GUCCCGCACGAGCGCAACCCUCGCCCUUAGUUGCCAGCAUUUAGUUGGGCACUCUAAGGGGACUGCCGGUGAUAAGCCGAGAGGAAGGUGGGGAUGACGUCAAGUCCUCAUGGCCCUUACGGGCUGGGCUACACACGUGCUACAAUGGUGGUGACAGUGGGCAGCGAGACAGCGAUGUCGAGCUAAUCUCCAAAAGCCAUCUCAGUUCGGAUUGCACUCUGCAACUCGAGUGCAUGAAGUUGGAAUCGCUAGUAAUCGCAGAUCAGCAUGCUGCGGUGAAUACGUUCCCGGGCCUUGUACACACCGCCCGU
rnacentral:rRNA from 1 species